rnacentral:rRNA from 1 species
AGUGAACGCUGGCGGUAGGCCUAACACAUGCAAGUCGAACGGCAGCACAGUAAGAGCUUGCUCUUACGGGUGGCGAGUGGCGGACGGGUGGGGAAUACAUCGGAAUCUACUUUUUCGUGGGGGAUAACGUAGGGAAACUUACGCUAAUACCGCAUACGACCUACGGGUGAAAGCAGGGGAUCUUCGGACCUUGCGCGAUUGAAUGAGCCGAUGUCGGAUUAGCUAGUUGGCGGGGUAAAGGCCCACCAAGGCGACGAUCCGUAGCUGGUCUGAGAGGAUGAUAAGCGACACUGGAACUGAGACACGGUCCAGACUCCUACGGGAGGCAGCAGUGGGGAAUAUUGGACAAUGGGCGCAAGCCUGAUCCAGCCAUACCGAGUGGGUGAAGAAGGCCUUCGGGUUGUAAAGCCCUUUUGUUGGGAAAGAAAAGCAGCAGGUUAAUACCCCGCUGUUCUGACGGUACCCAAAGAAUAAGCACCGGCUAACUUCGUG